rnacentral:rRNA from 1 species
GAUGAACGCUGGCGGCGUGCCUAAUACAUGCAAGUCGAGCGAACAGACGAGGAGCUUUCUCCUCUGACGUUAGCGGCGGACGGGUGAGUAACACGUGGAUAACCUACCUAUCAGACUGGGAUAACUUCGGGAAACCGGAGCUAAGACCGGAUAAUAUAUUGAACCUCAUGGUUCAAUCGUGGAAGACGGUUUUUCUGUAACUUAUAGAUGGAUCCGCGCCGCAUUAGCUAGUUGGUAAGGUAGCGGCUUACCAAGGCAACGAUGCGUAGCCGACCUGAGAGGGUGAUCGGCCACACUGGCACUGAGACUCGGUCCAGACUCCUACGGGAGGCAGCAGUAGGGAAUCUUCCGCAAUGGGCGAAAGCCUGACGGAGCAACGCCGCGCGAGUGAUGAAGGUCUUCGGAUCGUAAAACUAUGUUAUUAGGGAAGAACAAAUGUGUAAGUAACUAUGCACGUCUUGACGGUACCUAAUCAGAAAGCCACGGCUAACUACGUG